UACGGAGGAUGCGAGCGUUAUCCGGAUUUAUUGGGUUUAAAGGGUGCGUAGGCGGGAUGCCAAGUCAGCGGUAAAAAUGCGGUGCUCAACGCCGUCGAGCCGUUGAAAUUGGCGUUCUUGAGUGGGCGAGAAGUAUGCGGAAUGCGUGGUGUAGCGGUGAAAUGCAUAGAUAUCACGCAGAACUCCGAUUGCGAAGGCAGCAUACCGGCGCCCUACUGACGCUGAGGCACGAAAGCGUGGGUAUCGAACAGG
rnacentral:rRNA from 1 species